GGCGCGGUGGCGAAGUGGUAACGCGGGAGUCUGCAAAACUUUUAUGCGAGGGUUCGAUUCCCUUCCGCGCCU
rnacentral:tRNA from 1 species